CCUACGGGUGGCAGCAGUGGGGAAUAUUGGACAAUGGGGGGAACCCUGAUCCAGCCAUGCCGCGUGUGUGAAGAAGGCCCUCGGGUUGUAAAGCACUUUCAGUGAGGAAGAACGCCUGGUGGUUAAUACCCAUCAGGAAAGACAUCACUCACAGAAGAAGCACCGGCUAACUCCGUGCCAGCAGCCGCGGUAAUACGGAGGGUGCGAGCGUUAAUCGGAAUUACUGGGCGUAAAGCGCGCGUAGGUGGCUUGAUAAGCCGGUUGUGAAAGCCCCGGGCUCAACCUGGGAACGGCAUCCGGAACUGUCAAGCUAGAGUGCAGGAGAGGAAGGUAGAAUUCCCGGUGUAGCGGUGAAAUGCGUAGAGAUCGGGAGGAAUAUCAGUGGCGAAGGCGGCCUUCUGGACUGACACUGACACUGAGGUGCGAAAGCGUGGGGAGCAAACAGGAUUAGAUACCCGGGUAGUC
rnacentral:rRNA from 1 species